rnacentral:lncRNA from 1 species
UUAAAGAAGGACUAGGAAAUUAAAGAAAAUAUAAAAGAACUUGACAUCGGGAAAGAAAUUUCUUCUAAUGAAAUCAUAGUGGAGAAAUUGAAUAGGGAGACUAAACCAAGCAUGCACAAACCAAAAUUAAACGUACUUCCACCUCAUCUUAAUUAUAUCUUUCUAGAAGAAGGUAGUAGGGAACUAGUAAUCAUCAGAAAAUCAUUGUCAACUUCACAAGAGAAAAGUUUGAUUCAAGUGUUGAAAGGAAACAAAGAAGUAAUUUGAUGGGUGCUAGCUGACCUAAAAGGGAUUAGUCCAUCUUAUUGGAUGCACAAGAUCGUGAUGGAAGAAACCUUCAAACCAAUCGCUCAUCCACAAUGUCUCUUGAUUCCUGCUAUGAAAGAUGUGGUAAAAAAAGAAAUGGUAAAAUUUCUUGAGGCAAGAAUGAUAUAUCCAAUUUCAGAUAACACCUAGAUGAGUCUCGUUCAUGUGGUCCCAAAAACAACUGGUAUGAUAGUGAUCUAAAAUAUAAAAAAAUGAAUUCAUUCUAACCAGAAGGUUCACUAUAGGGUUGAUGUUCGUAUGAUAGAAGACUAAAUCAAGCCACAAGAAAAUACCAUUUCCAUUUCCCUUUAUGUAUCAAAUGUUGGAAAGACUAUUUGGUCAAUCAUUUUAUUUGUUUUUUGUUCGAAUAUUCAGGUUAUAACCAGAUUAUAGUGAAUCUUAAAGAUCAUGAGAAGACUUUAUUCAAAUGUCCCUUUUGUAAUAGCCUAAACUCCAACAUAUAUUUUAUACAAACGCAUGCAGAAAAUAUGGCAAUAAAACAAAAACAGGGUGUCACACAUAUCUCUCAACAUUCAAUCUUUAAUUCAAAAUAUGGAAUUAAAUUCGAAACAACAUAACAUCAUUAUUCAAUUAAGAAACUUAGAAAAUGACCUCAUUCAUAAUAUAGAGUAUUCAAUGAAAUAAGGAAUUCCCAACCCUGUGUUACACUAUCAGAUUGACACCAUGGAAAACUAAAUAGUCGAUAAGGUAUGACGAAUAAAACAAGAAAAUAAAGCAGUGAGUAGGCAAAUUAUGCCACCCCCCAAAAUAAGUAACGUCUAAAUCUCCUCAGUCUCCACCUGAGUAUCUGCAUAGUAUCCAUGGGAAACAACAUGGAAACCGAAAAGGGGUGAGAAAUACAUUCCAUAUAUAAACGGUGCAUAAAAAACAAGGAUAGUGUAAUCAAUAUAACUACCCAAUCACAAUCACAUCUCGAAUAACAACAACAAUCGAUUAACAUAUGAAAUUAUGUAUGCAAUGUCAAUCUCUUAUACUCCAAUGCAUGUGGUAGAAAUCUCUAGGAUAUUCCUAGGUAUAUUUCUAAGGUAUCCCAACUCGUUACUUGGAUCAAAGUCCUACUCGUCACUAGACUAGAGUCUUACUCAUCACUGAACCGGAGUCCUACCUAGCUUCAAUAUACAUGAUGCAUGAAUGCUACAAGAAAAUAUGCAAUUCUCAUCCAAAAACCCAACUCUUACAUUUGCCAAUCGUUCCUUUCGGACCUAAAAUAUAUCAUCAACAAUGAUUAUCGUUUUAUGGCCAUGUCACUGGUUCCAUCGAACCUAAUUGUCUCACAUCAAUAGUUCCUUCUCAUGAGGUAUUCAUCAUUGAACUCAACAUAGGAACUCAAUAACAUUUUUCUCAUCAAUCAAUAUCAAAUAACUCAUAAAAAUGAAAAUAAAAUUAAAAAACUACUUGGAAAAUUGAGUCAAAUAUCUCAAUAUGGUCAAACAAUAGGGAUGGCGAUCGGACCGUAUCGACCAUCAUAUUUGUCACCCUCAGGGUGAGUAACACGUUAAUCACUGAUGGUUUGGGGGUCAUGUUCUCAUUAUGGGGCCCUAACAGUUGGACCGUCACUUGGCUGACGCCCGUCACCGCUAACGAUUUGGCGUCUUCUUCCUCGAUGCGGUGAUAGUUGGCCUAUCAUGCUGAUAAUGCCCAUCACUGUUGUGUACAAUGCGAUUUCUGCAUUUUCACCAUUGAAUCGCUUUAGAUUUCAAUCUCUUCAAUCGGUUUUUUACAAAUGAAACAUCUUGCACUCGAUUUUCACAUUAUAACAACAAAUUGUAUAACCAAAACAUUAAUUUAACUUUUAUCACAUCUACUCAUCAUGAUUUAUUCAUAAAAAUAUAGCAUCUCAUAAGAACACAAACAUAAGUUUUUUAUAGCAUAAACCCAUACUAAUUUCACAUAACAAUAGAAAAAUUAGCAACAUCAUUAGAUCAUAACUCAAAAUUAUAUAGCAAUAAUCCAGAGAGAUUUUGCAUAAACCACCUCAAGAUUCAAGUUCCACGUCAAUGGAAGAAAAAGGGAAAGGAUGGGGCUUAAGGAAUCCCUACUAUCCCAUAUGCUUAGACACCAAUGUAUUGAACAAUCCACCCUUACCUUGAUUAUUCAUAAAAGUUUGAAGCUUUAUCGACUUUGGUUAUGGAGGCUCUUCUUCUUCACUUUCUAUGUUAGGGUUUGCUCUCUCCACUUCUUAGUCUCUAUUCCACAAAUUCCACGUGAUAUCACUUUUCCUUCUAUUUAAAUAAAAACCCGUUUUUUUUAAUUUUAAUAAUUUCACUAAUGUCCCCAUUUCUCACUAAUUCUACUCAACUCCCUAUAUUAAUUAAAUUCUAGUUUAUUGCCCCAAAACCACACUUUCUCACAUUCUCCAAUAAUUUGAAUAUUAAACUAUAACUAAAUUCUCCCAAUCUUCUUUAACUUAAAUAAUAAUAAUUAAUUAAAUAAAAUACACCCCAAAAGCUCAAAUAAAAAUUUAAAAUACUAGAAUAAAAAUCGCGGUGUUACACCUUUGGUGUAUUUACUUACAGAAGAAUGCCUUUUGGACUAUGCAAUGCUCCCACAACCUUUCAAUGCCGUAUGCGGGUAAUAUUUUCAUAUUUAAUCAAGAAAUGCAUAUAGGUAUUUUGGAUGACUUCUCGGUAUUUGAAACAUCCUUUUUAUUGUGCUUGAAAAAUAUGAACUCCAUAUUGAAAAAGGUGUGUGAAAAUUAAUUUGGUUCAAAAUUAGGAAAAAUACAAUUUUAUGGAAAAUGAAGGCAUUGUAGUAGGACACAAAAUCUCAUCUUGAGGCAUAGAGGUGGAUAAAGCAAAGGUAGAAGUGAUCAAGAAAUUUCCAUAACCAACAAAUGUCAAAGUUAUCCAAAGUUUCCGCGAGCACACUAGGUUCUACAAAAGAUUAAUCUAAAACUUAUCAAAUAAAGCCAAACCGUUAAGCAACCUACUUAACAAAGAUAAGUGUUUUGAUUUUGGUGAAUCAUGCUUACUUGCUUUUGAAAAUUUGAAAUAAAAUUUGGUAAUAGAGCCAAUAAAUAAUGCACCAGAUUGGACCCUUGAAUUCAAAUUAAUGCAUGAUGCCGAUGAUUAUGUAGUAGAUGCAGUUCUAGGACAACGAAAGACUAAGGUUUUCCAUGCUAUACAUUACGUAAGAAAAGUUUUGGAUUAAGCUCAAGUAAUUAUGCAAGAACAAAUAAAGAAUUACUUGUGAUAGUUCACGCAUUGGAAUAAUUUAGAUUUUACUUGAUUGGCUCCAAAAUUAUUACAUACAAUGUGCAUGCAUUCAUCAAGUACUUAAUGAUAAAACUUGAUUCCAUACCAAUAUUAAUCAAAUGAAUGCUCUUACUUCAAGAGAUUUAUAUAGAAAUCAAAUACAAAAAUGGAUUAGAAAAGUUGGUAGCAGACGAUCUAUCUAGGAUGGUGAAUAAAGAAGUGACUAAUCAAAAUCAUGAGGUAUUAGAAAAAUUUCUUGAUGAAAAGAUACUCAUAAUAGAAGACAGGUCAGGGUUUGCAGACAUGGAAAAUUACAAGGUUGUUGGAUUACUCUUGGAAGAUCUCAAAUGGCAUAAGAGGAAUAUGCUUUUAAGAAGGGCCCAAUGAUAUGUGUGUGACGACUCAUAUCUCUUCAAAAUAGGAGUUGAUAAUUUAUUAAGGACAUGUGUAACCAAAUAAGAAUCCCAAAGCAUAUUGUGGCGUUGUCAUAAUUCAUCAUACAUGGGUCAUUACCGUGGAAAACAAAAUGCAUAAAGGUUCUUCAAUCAUGAUUUUUCUUGUUUACACUAUAUAAGGAUAAACAUGAGCAUACUACAAAUAGUGACAACUUCCAAAGAGAUGAAGGAAUCUAAAAACUUAAUGAAAUACCACUCUAGAACAUCCUUGAAGUAUAAGUAUUUGAUUGAUGGAUAAUUGACUUUGUUAGGCCAUUCCCCACCUUAUACUCUAACAUUUAUAUCUUACUGACAGUAUGUUACAUGUAAAAAUAGGUGGAAGCAAUUGCAACAUCGAAAUAAAAUGGAAAGACAAUCAUAAAAUUCCUAAAGAAAAACAUCUUUUC